rnacentral:rRNA from 1 species
AGUGAACGCUGGCGGUAGGCCUAACACAUGCAAGUCGAACGGCAGCACAGUAAGAGCUUGCUCUUACGGGUGGCGAGUGGCGGACGGGUGAGGAAUACAUCGGAAUCUACUUUUUCGUGGGGGAUAACGUAGGGAAACUUACGCUAAUACCGCAUACGACCUACGGGUGAAAGCAGGGGAUCUUCGGACCUUGCGCGAUUGAAUGAGCCGAUGUCGGAUUAGCUAGUUGGCGGGGUAAAGGCCCACCAAGGCGACGAUCCGUAGCUGGUCUGAGAGGAUGAUCAGCCACAAUGGAACUGAGAAAAGGGCCAGACGCCUAAGGGAGGCAGCAGUGGGGAAUAUUGGACAAUGGGCGCAAGCCUGAUCCAGCCAUACCGCGUGGGUGAAGAAGGCCUUCGGGUUGUAAAGCCCUUUUGUUGGGAAAGAAAAGCAGCAGGUUAAUACCCCGCUGUUCUGACGGUACCCAAAGAAUAAGCACCGGCUAACUUCGUG